AAAAAGUGUCAUGUUUAGCAAAUGAGUCUCGAAUAAUUCAGUCAACUUGAGUUUCUUCAUUGCUAAGUGUAACUCAUAGGAAGCAAACAGAAAGCCAUAAUACAAGUGUAUGUGCUUGUGUAUGUUUGAACAAAUAGGUGUAUACUUUUAUGAGAUUUCCUCAGAGCUUGAGGUUUUCUGUAUCACUCUUGAGAGGGUCAGAUUAUGGAGCAUUCUUCUUGUAUUCGACAAGACUUAUUCUGUGACCUCUGGUCAGAAUGGAGCAAUUGCCCGAGUGAAACAAAUAUAUUAGGGUAAAACUGCUAUCCAUGAAAGCUAUGAUGUUGACAGUGCAGUAAAAAGUAACACCGUGAUUUUGCAUUUGGCUGUCCCAAUUGAGAGUCGAGUUUGUGGUUACCAAUUGUUCAAGGAUUUCAUGCAAAAAUUUAUCAAAAACGUAUAGAAGGAAAAGCAAGAAUUUUGCAAAUCCUGUGCAAGAGAUCUGAAAUCAUCCUUUUGAAGAUGAAGUGAGCCGCAUGGUAAUUGUGCAGCACUUCCUAAGUUUAAUAUUGUUGCCUAAACUCCCGUCUCAAGCAGUAAUCCAUUGCAAAGAUACCGUUGAUUUCUGCGGAAUAGGACAGUAAAGAUGCACAGUUCCUCUGCUGCUUGUUUUAAUGAUUAGUAUAUGAGAUUUUAGGUCUCACUCCCAAUGCAAGUGUGUUUAAUUUUAAAUUAUGUUACUUCCUUUCGUAAGCACACAUAAGCAAAUCAGGAAGAAAUGGGAAGACGUUACAUAAGUAUAUUAACCUACUGAGUUCAUUGAGAAGCGAUCAAGUGAUGGAUCCAGCAUCAUGGUUACUCUCAUGCUCUCUUACCUUUCGCUUGUGUACACCAGCAAAA